CCUACGGGAGGCAGCAGUGGGGAAUAUUGCGCAAUGGGCGAAAGCCUGACGCAGCGACGCCGCGUGAGGGAUGAAGGUCUUCGGAUCGUAAACCUCUGUUUGUAGGGAAGAACGGUCACUGUGCUAAUCAGCAGUGAAUUGACGGUACCUGCAAAGGAAGCAUCGGUUAACUCCGUGCCAGCAGCCGCGGUAAUACGGAGGAUGCGAGCGGUAAUCGGAUUUACUGGGCGUAAAGGGCUCGUAGGCGGUAUGUCAAGUCAAGGGUGAAAUCCCCGCGCUCAACGUGGGAACUGCCUUUGAAACUGGCAGGCUAGAGUGUAUGAGAGGAAGGUGGAAUGCAAGGUGUAGGGGUGAAAUGCGUAGAGAU
rnacentral:rRNA from 1 species